rnacentral:rRNA from 1 species
UGGGGAAUAUUGCACAAUGGAGGGAACUCUGAUGCAGCGACGCCGCGUGAACGAAGAAGGCUUUCGAGUCGUAAAGUUCUUUUAUAUGGGAAGAUAAUGACGGUACCAUAAGAAAAAGCCCCGGCUAACUACGUGCCAGCAGCCGCGGUAAUACGUAGGGGGCUAGCGUUGUCCGGAAUCACUGGGCGUAAAGGGUUCGCAGGCGGAAAUGCAAGUCAGGUGUAAAAGGCAGUAGCUUAACUACUGUAAGCAUUUGAAACUGCAUAUCUUGAGAAGAGUAGAGGUAAGUGGAAUUUUUAGUGUAGCGGUGAAAUGCGUAGAUAUUAAAAAGAAUACCGGUGGCGAAGGCGACUUACUGGGCUCCUUCUGACGAUGAGGAACGAAAGCGUGGGUAGCAAACAGG